CGCCGAAAAUGGCGUCGGAAAUGACGCCAUUAACGCGAUUUAGCAUUUUUUUUCUCAAAAGAUUUUACAUAAUAGAUAUGUCAUGUGAGCUCUGUCUGACUUGUAUAUGUCUAAUCUGCUUGUAAACAUUGUUUUGGGGUCGUUUUUCGGGCACAGGAUUACUCUCCGUAGAACAUAAAGUGGUGGAUUUUACUCCAGUGAAUAUCCAUCACAGAAAAGACUCAAAGAAGCUCCAGGCCUUCAGACGGAACACAGGGUAGCAGAGCCCAGUCAUUCUGGCGAUGGUUAAACCAGACUGUGGAGUCAGGUGUUUCAGGAGGCGGUGGAGAGGGUAGAAUAAGACCGCGGUAGACCUGCUGUCACACCUGCAGGACUCACCUCAGCAUCCUGCCUGGGGUGAUGAUGGUGGUGAUGAUAGUGGUGGUGCUCAUCAGAAGCCUGUCUCUUCACUGGGUUCACAGCAAGGCGCUACACCUGCUGUCUGAGGUGUGAAUGUGUUCUAGUUCUUAUGGACAACAAUAUUUCUGAACCUAAAAUUUGUAGUUUAUAUAAGCAAACUUGUGGCCAAACUCUACAACAUGUAAGAAGCAGGAUAUAUAUACAGUACAACACACAGUUUUGCUUAUAUCCUUCUGCAAGGAGGUGAGGUUUUCCCACAACCAACUUCAACAAUUGUAACAUAUUUGUAAUGUUCUGUAGCAAAUAAUCAACAGAAUGAUGUGGGCUUUAAUAUCAGUGGAACCUACUCACCUGCUGAGUGACUCUACCACUUAUUGCACUUCACUCGGCUUAUAUAACCUGAGUCAUAGGCCAACAUAUACCUCCAAGUCCAAGCUGGAGUCUGUUCAGAUGUCUGAAAGGGAACAGGAGACGCAACAAGCUGGGGAUGAGUCUUUUUAUCCUGAAUGUGUUAGAGGUGUAAUGGUUCAGAAAUUCUCUCCACGUGUCUUGUCGUCCCGUCUUGUUUUGUACAUCAGAGGUUUGCUGUCUGUUCCCAGGACGCCACCAUCAAAAGCACAAGCGUUUGAUGAUUUUAAACAGAGUCGAGGCAACAAAUUUAACCGCAUCUUUAAAGAGAACAAUUGCUGCUGGAACACUGCAGUCUUCUACAGCAGCUGGGUGUUACAGUGAAGGUUACACACAAUAAUUCUUCAUUUUCCAGAAUUGUGAAACAGUAUAAAAUGGCUUUCCUUUUACCUAAGGAGAAGCUGAAAAUAACUAUGAAUGAGAACUUUGUAUUCAGGAGCAAAGUUGCUGUUUUUCUGUUAUUCAAAUAUUGUAUGAACCUUCAGCAACUUUUUAUUACUUCCAA